AAGCGCGGGGCCCUAGGCAGAUGCCUCGUCCGCCUGCCCCUAAGCACGGCCCUGGGUGUAGCUAGAGUGCUAGACUGUUGAGCAAGACUCGAUGUUGAAGCGAUCUCAUGCGUAGAAACUAAGGAUCUUUUUAAAUCAAAACCAUUAAUAAAGCGUGAGCUAUAUGUGUUUAGCCUUUUCAUGUUAUUUUUAUUGAAAUUUUAUGUUUCACAUCUAAUAUUUUAUAAUUUUGAAAUUACUUUUCUCUUGAUUUGUAGAAAAUGCCCAGUCGAAAACGAAUUCGCAUUGAGGAGGAAGAGGAGGCGAAGGUAUGAAAUAUGCACGUGUAUGUCUUUUACCGUCGACACCCACCAAAUCACGUCGACAUUUCACUGCAUGCGCUUGUACUAAACUGCUGAUCUACACUCUAUAAUUAGCUUUUCGAGUCCCCAGCAUGUAUCACCCCAAUGAAAAAACAACUCGAGGCAAUUUAGUAUGUUUAGAAGAUUACUAUAAUUUACCACAACAUAAAAAGGGAAUGCACAAGAACAAGUACAUUUGCAAUACGUUGUUUCCCUAACUUAGCUGGUUCUGUAGGUCGUACCCUUUACCUACCUACAUUAUGUUGUCGUGUAGGUCUGUAGGACAUAAGUUGCUCUCUAGGUAAGCGCACUCGCUCUUUCGGGUUGGAAAGCAAAUAGUGCUGAAAGUGUGACAAUGUUAUUGUUUACAUGUAGAAAACUGAUUUAUAUUGAUUUGGAUUCUCCCUCUCGCGCACACAUACACAUCCAAUGUACCCCCACACACAUAUGCAUGCCUAGAAACAUUAAUUGUCUUUUUAUUAUUAUUUACAGGCGGGUACAAGCACAACAACGGAAGAUGCCUUUAAAAUCGCCCCGAGACAGUUGCCGAUGUUAAAAGUAUUAAACGACCUUAUGGAGCAAAUAGUGUCGGAAAAAGCGCAGAGAGAUCUGCAUUUAGAAUUUCAUAGAAGAGCAAAUGAAGUUCUAGAUGCAGAAAAGGCUCAAUCAACUGAGCGUUGCAGGCCCGCUGUCGGUACCGCUUCACGCGAGACCAGCGGUGAGGCCGUCACAUCUGACGGCGAAGACGAAGCCUGAUGCUGUUGUGCGUGCACUCGGCGACACUUGAUGGCAUGAAAAAAAUGUGGCUGUCAUGGCUGCUUAAAAGCCUUGACUUUAUUUUGUUGUUGGUUCUGAGUGUUGUUUUUUUUAAAUAAACCUUUUAAAAGGUGAAAAAUGUCAGCUCUGUUAUGGCAAUGUCAACAUGUUAGUGUUUUCUGGAGAGAGUCAUGAUUGAGAAAUGUACAACACUAAGAAAUUUUAAUUUUUCUGAAAAACUUAUUUUAUUUGGUGUACAUGACAACAUUUGUACAAAGAUUUGUACGGAUAAAGUGUUAGACCUAAUUAUCUUGUUAGCAAAAUAUUACAUUUAUGUAUGCAAAUGGAAAAACGAUAUACCCUCUAUACAUGCCUUUUUACUGAUUGUAAAAUACCGAUAUAAUACAGAAAGAUACCAUAGUAUUGUAAGUAGUAAAUUGGACCUAUUUGAAGCUAUUUGGAAACCAUAUCAAAAAUUAGUAAUAUAAGCACAGUUAGUGGAAGCUAGGAUGUUCUUUUUCAUCUCUUCUCCUCGUCUUUCCUCUUUAUUCUUUUCCCCCCUUCUAUUCUUUUCCCCCCUUCUAUACUGAAUGAAUGCAGUAAUUAAUGUAUAAAUGUCAUAUAUGUUGUAUUAUUGAAAAAUAAUAAUAAAAAAAAAGAAAAAUGUCAGCUCAGCAUGUGGAAAGGUUUGUUUCCUAAUAAUAGUUGAAUGACUUGUAAUAGCUAAGCCUAUUCACCUGCUGAAAACACCUUUCUUUUGCCUUGCUCCUGUAGCUGUCUUCCCAUCCACAUACCUGCAUACUAUAUACAUACAUGUAUACAUAAUACCUCUAAGUGCUUUCUCGCUCGUCUUGUGUGCCCGUGCUUGUUUGUUAGUUUGUCAGGUUACCUGACCAUUUUGUUUGUCUGAGCUUUCAUGUAUGUGAACAUACUCCAGCUGAGUCACAGUCAUUGUGUGUUCACAAGUCCCCCCUACACACACACCCAGUCCCCCCACUCCACCUUGUCGAGAGGUUGGAAUACAGGAGGAGAGAGUAAUGUCUGCUGUAGAAAGUCGUAAUUCAAGCUCUAAGGCGAUCAAAACCCGACUGUGGUCUUCAUUUACUUUCUUUAUGUGCCUCGUAGCAGCACUGAUCUCAUUGUGUCACACGCACUCACGCAGGCUGUUGGUGGAGGCCUGGAGGGCCGAGGGCCGAGUUUUGCUUGUCAAGCGGUUUCAACAGGUGUGCAGGUACACAGUCGUCUGCCGGCAAGAUGUCAGCCAGCACAAGGGGCCCAGACGGUGGGGUGGGGUGGGGUGGUACAGCGCGGUGCAGUCACUGGUGGCAGUAGCUUGGCGCUCACCUUCAGUGGACCAGCCGCUAGCGACUGACGCUCAGGUAAGGGGCUUUGCAUCCAUAAUCCUACCUGGCCGUUCUCCCGGGUUGUCGUUCUUGCCAAGACCCCUUUUGACUGGGGUCGACCCCCUGCGGUUUUGCGCGUUGACACUUGGCGCAGACGACAGACGACAGCUACUACUUUCGCCCUGAUUCACAACGGCGGUGUUGUUAUUGUCCUCAGCGGUCUCCUUAUUGUGUUUUAUUGCCAUGUAUUACAAUUCGUGACAUACCCCGGGUGCCACUUUAGAAACGUGAUCAUAGCAGUUGCAACUUGACACCGUGCAAAACUUUUUAUUAUUAUUUUGAAAUGACUGAGCCUCGCACUCAGGUCAAACCAUUUAGGCAACAACUGGCUGAUUUGUCAAAUAGUCUCACCUCUCCUAGAAGUUUUUCUGAUAAACAUAAACACACCUACACUAUGAUAUCUGUAUAUAGAUGUUCCUAUAGAGUUGUGGAUCUCUUUCUGUGUACGGUGAUGUUCGUAGACCUCUGUCUGUACACGGUGGUGUUGGUGUGCACAUAUCUCCCGUGUGUCCAUACCUCGAGAAGGAUGGGGGGGGGGAGGUACAGUUGUCUUGUCAUGUUGAGAAAUAAAUUAGGGGUGUAGUAGUCAUAAUCACCAUGUUUAGCCACACGUUAAUUGUCAUUUUGUGUCGUUGUCGCCUCACAUAAAUUACACCACAGUCUUUUGUUGUGUUGUAAAGCCUGGACCUAUAUACAAUAAAAGUUGCUGCCUAGACAACUGGACAGUCACGUGUCUCAGCAUGGGGAGGAUCUUCACUAUCAGCGCAUGAUGCUCUUCUGUGGUGGCGAAUGUUUCUCGUCCAACUCCUCACAAAAUGGCAGCAAAUGAUGGCGGGCAGUCGCUUAAUUGCUGAACAGGAGAAAACAAUUAGAAACAGGUUUUAAGCAUUUCGCGUACCAUCCAACGAGUUUAAAUCCUUAUUUAGACAUAUCGCCAUCUUGAAACACAUCUCACGUGCCCGUUAUUACAACAGUCUCUACUCCACCACCGCCGCCACACCCAGGUCAUCACCAGGAUCCAGCUCCGGUCUUAGCUUCACGAUUGUCUUAAUUUAAUUUUUUGUUUUUGUUUAGAUAAUGUACUUUCUAAAGUGAUUCCCGAUAAGUUUUAUAAACUAUAAUGAUCACACUCGCAUCGUUAAACUGCAGGGUGUAACAACAAUAACAACAUGAGCUAAAUGUCUGUGUUUAACACAGAAUUACUGGCAGUCCAGGCCUUGCAGACUCACAAGAUGUUUGAUGGACUCGCCAAGGGCGCUGUAGAGACAAGCAGGGUGAGCACCGCUCGCCCACGACCACACUGUCAGCUGGGAAACAAUAGAAACACUUGAACAAGGACUCGAGCCUUGCACCCAGCUUUUAAAACAACACGAUAAUUCAAGUGCGACACCAUUGUGAGCCCCUGACAGGAGCCAGACCCCUGCACUCCCAGCCAUACAUCUACCGUAUAGACUAUAGGGAGUCUGUUCUCUCCUGCCAGCGGCUACACUUUGCUGGAAAUGUCAAGUUGUCUGCGAUAAACAUGGAGCACUUAGCUUGAAUAGUGGGGCAACAAAGGGCUUAGGAAUAGGUACAAGCAUAUUUAUGUUUACUACUUCGCGCACAAAAAAUAAGCAGCCAUUGAUUUGUUAAAAAAAAAACUGAGAAGAAAGCAAGAUUUGUAAAUAGAACUUUAAAUGUGAAUGUGUUUACAUUACUGUGUUGAUAAUCGGAAGCAGUAUGAGAUGUAGCAUGGAACGAUCAGCUGCACAUUAAAUUAAUUUGAAAUGUACAAUGAAAAACUCAGUUGUUUUAAGGCUGCACAGUUCUGCCCGUUGUCCCAUCUGUCUUAUUAUCACACCUUGUACCCAGAACAACACCCACACACUUUUUGUCUGUCAAACACACCCCCACUUCCAUCCCCACAGUUACAGCAACUGUCGCCGAAGUCGGGCAGUCAGUUGGCAGACAGCAGCUCCACUCGGGUGCUCUCUAUGCAAGUAUGCAAACAAUGGUCAAGCACCCCACAAUACCCCUUUGACUUGACAUGCACACAUACUCGCACGCAGACAUACGUACAUACACAUGCACAUACACACCCAUCCCCAUGCUCACCACACACACACAUUCUAAUGAGUCACACGCCUGUCGACUCGGUGUAAACAUGACAGAACUUGGUUACAAACAAACAACACGUGAUGAAGGACAUCACCCAGGGACACUUUCCCGCCUCCGUGGGAGUAGGGGAGUCCCGGGCAUACCUCACGAGUCCAUCGAGUGCAACCCUCCACAGUCUGAGGUCCCAAUCUUGCCCCCAUCAGCACCCUGCACUCCAUCCUCCUGUCACCAUGGCGCCCGGUCUGUCCGCCUGCAACAUUCCGCAACCUGCUGCACGUGCGGGGGAUGCCAGCAACACCAGCUACAACAACGCUCGCCAAAAGCUGAACACAACAACUUCUCUCUCCUCUAUUCUCGUUUCAAAAUGCUUUCUUCAAGAGAUUAAACAAAAUAAAGGGUGUGACAGACAUUUCCUCACAAGUCAUAAAGAUUUGUCUGUCAGGAAGGUCAUCAAGUGCAUGCCAUCCCUCGUGAUGCAAGCACAACACACACGUGUACAGGGUGUUCACGUCUAUACACACAACAUCCUGAAGUAGUGAUCACAGGUCAUACAGAUACCCCGGAUACAUUGCAUGCACUGGUGUAUGGCGGUCAGUAUGUCUGCUGGACUCAGAUAAUAAAUUUCUACUCCUGUCCUCAGUCCGUAACUUAUUGUAAACUCUUUCCUUGUCUAUCUCUCUAAACUGUUUAAAUUAAUAUUUUCACAGAACUGAGCAAUUUGUAAUCACACCAAACACUUAUUAAUAACAACCAUAACAAUAUUAACUACACAGUAGUUUCAGGAUGCUAUACGACUAAAUGCAAUGGCUGGGACUUCAACUCGGAUCACUCGAUGACCCCACACCCUCAUAAUGGAGGGAGUAUGUGUUCUUCCAGGUUUGCUCCCUUCGUGUUUUUUUUUUCCCCAAGGGAACGCAGGAAGUUUCAUUGUUAGUGUUGGUGCAGCUCCAAAUCUAACCCAGGGGUGGGCAAAGUUUCCGUUUUGCGGGCCGGUGACAAAAUUCUAAGUGAUGUGGGCCGGUAACCAUCCCCCCCCCCUCAAAAAACCAAAAACAAAAC